rnacentral:rRNA from 1 species
GCAAGUCGAGCGGGAAUGUUGGUGCUUGCACUGACAGGACAGCGGCGCACGGGUGAGUAACGCGUACGCAAUCUACCUUUCACAGAGGGAUAGCCCCGGGAAACUGGGAUUAAUACCUCAUGGUCCGUAAUACCGGCAUCGGUAUAACGGUAAAGUUCCGACGGUGAAAGAUGAGCGUGCGUACGAUUAGGUAGUUGGUGAGGUAACGGCUCACCAAGCCGAUGAUAGUUAGCUGGCGUGAGAGCGUGAUC